rnacentral:rRNA from 1 species
GACAGAGGGUGCAAACGUUGCUCGGAAUUAUUGGGCGUAAAGCGCGCGCAGGCGGUCCUUUAAGUCUGAUGUGAAAGCCCACGGCUCAACCGUGGAGGGUCAUUGGAAACUGGGGGACUUGAGUACAGAAGAGAAGAGUGGAAUUCCACGUGUAGCGGUGAAAUGCGUAGAGAUGUGGAGGAACACCAGUGGCGAAGGCGACUCUUUGGUCUGUAACUGACGCUGAGGCGCGAAAGCGUGGGGAGCAAACAGG